rnacentral:lncRNA from 1 species
GAAAAUAUAUCUUUUUGCAAACAUCAUGUAAUAUUGUUUGAGCUCUCUUAUGUUGAAAGGCCUUCAUCAGCGGGUGUGAAAAGGGAUAACCGAUGUCCUUUAAUAGGCCAAUGUUUAGGUUGUCCAGGAGGGUGAUCAAUUUGGUUAUAUGUCAAGAAGGGCUCGAAUGUGGCAUUUAACCAGAGUUGAAGAAGCCAGAAAGGGCCUACCAGUAGAAGGGUACCUUUGGAGUUC